CAUUUAAAGGAGUAUACCUUGAAUAUCACCCCCUUUCCUCUCACCCCCUCCUUCCCUGUCUCCGAUUUCACGACUGGAACACUCACCCUUCCACUUCAGACUUGGGCAAACUCCAUUAGCUUGUCUCUUUCCAAGGCACGGCAGAGAGGAGAGAGAGAAAAAAAACCGAGGAGAAGCGAUCAAGCGCAGCCUUUCCUUUGCCAGUCACUUUGCUCCCGCCGCUGCCCCCAUUAAUCACCCAGAUGAAAAGGAACAAAGAUACCAAGCCCAGAUGGACAAGAAGGAAAAAGUACCACAAAAACCACUGAUAGCUCGUCUCCAACUUCAACCAGAGGACACCGAAGUACCUCACAUGGUGAAAGGAAAGUUUAUUAUGCCGGAACAGACUUCAAAUACUGAGGAAGAUGAGAAUCCACUACCAUUUUCUGUUGAGAUUUCUCCUUUUCUCCGCACAGCUGUGUAUAAAGCAGAUUCUUCAAGAAAAAACAAAAGAACGACAAAAGAAGGAAAAAUGGGUUUUGAAUAUAUCCUUUCAAAAAUGCAUAAGGAAAAGGCAAAACAAGUGGUGUGUCAAUCUAGUGAAAUGGCUGGAUGGGAUUUACGCAGCAGUAUGGACUAUUCUGAGCUAACAAAUAAGACUGGAAAGAAAUUUUCUAUGAUUCCUUCUCAUGACGAACUUAGCUGUACUACUGAUACAUCAGCUGAUAUUUCCACUGUUACUGAAGGAAAGUAUAAUAGUUAGACUGGAAAAAAUGUGAACACAAGAAAAUAAUUAUUGAAUAUCUGAGUAUUGUAAAAUAAUUCUUAAAUAAUUAUGUACUGAAAUUGAUUACCUUCUAAAAUGUACAUGAACAUUUUCUGAUGUACAUAACACAAUUGUUUAAUGACUACAUGAGGAGAAUCAGAUUUUAUCUUGCAAACUAUGUGCAUUGAAGUUUAAUUUUAUGGGACCAACUAAAUGAUUUUUAAUGUGAGACACAACUUAGUGAAAGAUUGAAUCCUCUGAAAUCAUUGAUAUUAGAUGGUGAUUUAUAUCCUCUUUCGAUGGCAUGCCUGAAUGCUUUGAAAUAAAGUGCUACAGUAAAGGGCUUCACAGAUGUGAAUGCAAGCCUGUAAAAUGCCAGUGACGUAACAGUGGCCAUUUCUACACAACUUACUGAAACAUUUGCAAAACAUUUUCAGUCCUCUCUGUUUGUCUGCACUCACCCACUUGAAAACUCUUCCCGGCUAUUAUUUUGUUUUUCUCUUGCUUUAUUUUAAUGUCUCCAUGGAUUCAUAGCUUAGAUGCUUCAAAGCUUCAUGCUGCAAUUCUUCAUGGGUUGUGUCUUUGUAUGUUUGAAGAUAUCCCCCCCCCCCCCAUUAAAAAAAAUGAUGGAAGUAAACAGGUGAGAUGACGAAGCAAGCUCAGAAAAUGACACUAAGGAGGAAAUCUGGGGACUACAGAGAGUGGUAGGAAACGUUUUAAAUAUCGCUGCACAAGUGAAAACAUUUUGAAAACGUUUUCACAAAAAGAAUCACUAAGAUAGAGAAUGCACAUAAAACGUUUUGAGGCUGGAAAUAAAAUGUUUUGGUCUAAAAACUAUUCAGAAUUCUUCAGAGGAAAUGUUUUAUUUUCUGCCUCAAAACAUUUUAUUUUGGUUGUGCGGAAAGGGUCAGUGUGGCCUCCAACAAGUAGGACCUCUGUAGUGCGACAAGCCAAGUAUGCAGAUGUACUCUUUGGUGGGCUAAUCUUUGGUUCCUGCCAUUAUGUUUCCACAUGCAACUUUGUCUUUCAUAAUGAUUAGCAUAUUACUAAAAUUAAAUAUUUGAGCAAUUUUGAUAUUCAGCUUAGUGUUGAAUGUGGUAAUUAAUCUCUGUUCUAAAAGAGAUAAAUUCUUAUAUUUAUUUUAAAAUAUUUUAUUUUGUUUCUUUUCCCCUCU